rnacentral:lncRNA from 1 species
GUUAUUUGGCUGGAGUGAGGUCUCAUGGCUGUUUAUGCGGUGGCUCGCUGCUCAGGACAUGCCUAGCUAGAUGCCUGGAAUUUCCCUUGAAGGAAGUCAAGAUUUUCCUUUAUCUCCAUACUGGCUGAUGGUGAUCGAGUAAGCCCCUAAGAGGGGCCCCUGCUCCAUCUCAAGAUGCUGCUAGAUUCUACAGUGCCUAAUAAACAGCUCUCGCCUGACCGACAAAGAGCUGCUUGCUCUCUGGAUAGCAAUUCCAAAGUGAACAGACAACAUCCUGUUUGGAAGACUGCCACUCUGUUAGAAGAAGCAUCAGGAAAACCUUUCUUUUGAGCUAUUUAUAACUAACAGCAAUUGACCAAGUAUACUUUUGUGAGUGAAACUGACCUUUCUCCCUGAAUCAUUGGAGAUACUCAUUACUCUUUGAAGGCUUACAGUGGAAUGAAUUCAAAUACAACUUAUUUGAGGAAUUGAAGUUGACUUUAUGGAGCUGAUAAGAAUCUUCUUGGAAAAAAAAAGACUGGUACUUCUGAAUUAACCAAAAUCACAGUAUUCUGAAGAUGAUUCUACAAAGCCUGCUGUUUUCUACAAAGGCUGCUGAUGAUUUCUACAAAGCCUGCUGUAGUGUUGCUGUGGCCUCUGCUUAAAAAAGUAGAAAACACAUUGAUGCAGCAUGUUCACCCCAACCUCCCCGCCUAAAGGCUCAGGGACCAUC